rnacentral:rRNA from 1 species
AACGAACGCUAUCGGUAUGCUUAACACAUGCAAGUCGGACGGACUAAUUAGGGCUUGCUCCAAUCAGUUAGUGGCAGACGGGUGAGUAACACGUGGGAAUCUGCCCAUCAGUACGGAAUAACUUUUAGAAAUAAAAGCUAAUACCGUAUAUUCUCUACAGAGGAAAGAUUUAUCGCUGAUGGAUGAGCCCGCGUCAGAUUAGGUAGUUGGUGAGGUAACGGCUCACCAAGCCGACGAUCUGUAGCUGGUCUGAGAGGAUGAUCAGCCACACUGGGACUGAGACACGGCCCAGACUCCUACGGGAGGCAGCAGUGGGGAAUAUUGGACAAUGGGCGAAAGCCUGAUCCAGCAAUACCGAGUGAGUGAUAAAGGCCCUAGGGUGGUAAAGCUCCUUUAGCAAGGAAGAUAAUGACGUUACUUGCAGAAAAAGCCCCGGCUAACUCCGUG